rnacentral:misc_RNA from 1 species
GUCGGUGGCAGAGCUAACAUGGCAGAACGGUCAAUUGGCUCUGCAAGGCCUUAGCCAUCAAGUUGUCACCAAGCCCGUCCCAAAGUACCCUUCUGCUGCUGCCGCCACUUGGGAGAAGACCGGACCAAGCGGCACACUCGAGUCCAUCAUCAACCAAGCUACUCGCUCCCACCUCCUCUCAAAAGAUCUCCCAUCUUUGACAAAUUCAGUCACAGCUGACGCCAUUGUCCCUUGCU